rnacentral:lncRNA from 1 species
AUGCUCAAAAUUCUCCAAGCCAGGCUUCAGCAAUACGUGAACCAUGAACUUCCUGAUGUUCAAGCUGGUUUUAGAAAAGGGAGAGGAACCAGAGAUCAAAUUGCCAACAUCUGCUGGAUCAUGGAAAAAGCAAGAGAGUUCCAGAAAAACAUCUAUUCCUGCUUUAUUGACUAUGCCAAAGCCUUUGACUGUGUGGAUCACAAUAAACUGUGGAAAAUUCUGAAAGAGAUGGGAAUACCAGACCACCUAACCUGCCUCUUGAGAAAUCUGUAUGCAGGUCAGGAAGCAACAGUUAGAACUGGACAUGGAAUAACAGACUGGUUUCAAAUAGAAAAAGGAGUACGUCAAGGCUGUAUAUUGUCACCCUGCUUAUUUAACUUCUAUGCAGAGUACAUCAUGAGAAACUCUGGACUGGAAGAAGCACAAGCUGGAAUCAAGAUUUCCGGGAGAAAUAUCAAUCACCUCAGAUAUGCAGAUGACACCACCCUUAUGGCAAAAAAUGAAAAGGAGCUAAAAAGCCUCUUGAUGAAAGUGAAAGUGGAGCGUGAAAGAGUUGGCUUAAAGCUCAACAUUCAGAAAACAAAGAUCAUGGCAUCCAGUCCCAUCACUUCAUGGGAAAUAGACGGGGAAACAGUAGAAACAGUGUCAGACUUUAUUUUUUGGGGCUCCAAAAUCACUGCAGAUGGUGACUGCAGCCAUGAAAUUAAAAGGCGCUUACUCCUUGGGAGAAAAGUUAUGACCAACCUAGACAGCAUAUUCAAAAUCAGAGACAUUACUUUGCCGACUAAGGUCUGUCUAGUCAAGGCUAUGGUUUUUCCUGUGAUCAUGUAUGGAUGUGAGAGUUGGACUGUGAAGAAGGCUGAGUGCCGAAAAAUUGAUGCUUUUGAACUGUGGUGUUGGAGAAGACUCUUGAGAGUCCCUUGGACUGCAAGGAGAUCCAACCAGUCCAUUCUGAAGAUCAACCAUGGGAUUUCUUUGGAGGGAAUGAUGCUGAAGCUGAAACUCCAGUACUUUGGCCACCUCAUGCGAAGAGUUGACUCAUUGGAAAAGACUUUGAUGCUGGGAGAGAUUGGGGGCAGGAGGAGAAGGGGACAACAGAGGAUGAGAUGGCUGGAUGGCAUCACUGACUCGAUGGACGUGAGUCUGAGUGAACUCCGGGAGUUGGUGAUGGACAGGGAUGCCUGGCGUGCUGCGAUUCAUGGGGUCGCAAAGAGUCGGACACGACUGAGCGACUGA